rnacentral:lncRNA from 1 species
UUUUUUUAUUUGAAGAGUUGUGUUUCUUAUGAAAGGGUGUGUCAUUUUGUAAAGGUUGUGUCUUUGGGUUUAGGGUCAUGUCCUUUAGUGAAAGGUUGUAUUUUUUCGUGAAGAGUUGCGUCUUUUCAUGCUCUAUAAAUAGAGAGCAAGUAAUUUGUUGUGUAGAGUUGUGAAGUGUGGAUCAAAUUGUAUUAUUCAGUAGAAGUGUACUGAAGUUUAGUUAUAUUAAUAAAGUUUGUUAUUCUAGUGUUAAAUACUUUUUGUAGUUCAUUUAUAUAUCAGCCCACCAAUAUUUGGUAUCAAAGCUAGAACGAAACUCUGUUGAAAAAUGGCCACACAACUUCUCCAAACUCAAAUCCCAAAAUUAGUAAAAGAUAAUUAUGAGAAUUGGUGCAUUCAAAUGAAAGCACUUCUCGGUUCUCUAGACCUUUGGAAAUUAGUAAAAACUGGAUACCAAGAAUA